UAGUUUGAUUUAUGUAGUUUGUAAUGCUAUGUGUGGAAUGACAUCUUUAUAUUUUUAGAGAGCCAUAACAAAAGAAUGGCAGCAACAGAAAAGAUAGCUGGCAUGGAUGUGCUUUGCAGUGACAAAACUGGAACUUUGACAUUAAACAAGCUCACCGUUGACAAAAACCUUAUUGAGGUAUUUGCAAAAGGAGUAGAUAACAAAAGAAUGGUAGCAACAGAAAAGAUGGCUAGCAUGGAUGUGCUUUGCAGUGAUUAUUUUGAUGUUAAACAAGCUCACUGUUGACAAAAACCAUAUUGAGGUAUUUGCAAAAGGAGUAGAUGCAGAUACUGCUGUUCUUAUGGCAGCUCUAGCGUCAAGAACAGAAAGCCAGGAUGCAAUAGAGUACAGUCAUAGUUGGGAUGCUGGCUGACCCGAAGGAGGCACGUGCUCGCAUUCAGGAAAUACACUCUCUUCCUUUCAAUCCAACUGAUAAGUGUAAUGCUUUGACUUAUCUUGAUAGAGAUGGUAAAAUGCAUUGAGUUAGCAAAGUUGGUCUAGAGCAGGUGGUAGAUUCUAAAUCUUACUCACAAUAAAUCGGAUAUAGACCGUCGUAGACCGGGGUUUGCGGUCACUUGCUGUAGCAUACUAGGAAGUUCCAGAGGGUAGAAAAGAAAGUGCUGGAGGCCCUUGGCAGUUUAUAGGAGAACUGCUACUUCCUUGACAAUUGAAGCAGAGGAAUUCUAAUAGAGGCUCCUCAAGUUUGCCAUGUCAGCAUCCAAGAACUUCCUUCACAAUGAUGGAUAUUUGCUAGAGAUAAUAACCAGAAUGAGCAUUGAGUAAAUUGCUAGAAUUAGAUUUUAUUUCACCAUGUUCAACUAGGAAGUUUGUAAUAAAGUUCACAAUAUUAAGUCUCAUGACAACACGUCACUGUUGCCAAUUCUGAUACACUUCUGACUUCACCAUAGAUAUCAACAUUCCUCAAUAGUAAUUAACAAAUUUUGUUGCAA